AGCCUUAUAGUCAAAAAUGAUAUUAAAUUGCAAAUUUAAAGGAAAAUUUUCAAAUUUUAAGGCUU
rnacentral:tRNA from 1 species